UACGUAGGUGGCAAGCGUUGUCCGGAUUUACUGGGCGUAAAGAGCGCGCAGGCGGUCGUUCAAGUCGCGUGUGAAAGCCCCCGGCUCAACUGGGGAGGGUCACGCGAUACUGAUCGACUCGAAGGCAGGAGAGGGAAGUGGAAUUCCCGGUGUAGUGGUGAAAUGCGUAGAUAUCUGGAGGAACACCGGUGGCGAAGGCGGCAUCCUGGACCGGAAUUGACGCUGAGGAGCGAAAGCCAGGGGAGCAAACGGG
rnacentral:rRNA from 1 species